rnacentral:tRNA from 1 species
GCCAGCAUGGCAUAGUGGUUUGAGCAUUGGACUACAACUCUGGAGACCAGGGUUCAAGUCCCUGCUUGGCC